CGUCAGGACGAACGCUGGCGGCGUGCCUAAUACAUGCAAGUCGAACGGUCUUUCUAUGGAAGCUUGCUUCCACUGAAAGAUAGUGGCGAACGGGUGAGUAACACGUGGGUAACCUGCCCAUAAGAGGGGGAGUAACAUCCGGAAACGGGUGCUAAUACCGCAUAGUUUUCUUGAUCGCAUGAUCGGGAAAGGAAAGACGGCCUUUGUGCUGUCGCUUAUGGAUGGACCCGCGGCGUAUUAGUUAGUUGGUGAGGUAACGGCUCACCAAGACGAUGAUACGUAGCCGACCUGAGAGGGUGAUCGGCCACAUUGGGACUGAGACACGGCCCAAACUCCUACGGGAGGCAGCAGUAGGGAAUCUUCCGCAAUGGACGAAAGUCUGACGGAGCAACGCCGCGUGAGUGAAAGAAGGUUUUCGGAUCGUAAAACUCUGUUGUCAGAGAAGAACAAGUUGGAGAGUAACUGCUCCAGCCUUGACGGUAUCUGACCAGAAAGCCACGGCUAACUACGUGCCAGCCGCCGC
rnacentral:rRNA from 1 species